AUGGAGGAAAGUCCGGACACUAUAAGGUAGCGUAGCGGCUAACGGCCGUCACCCGCUCAGGCGGGAUAGGACAAGUGCAACAGAAAGUAUGUACAGGUAAUGCUGUAGUGAAAUCAGGUAAACUCUACGCAGUGAAAUGCCACGUAUAUUGAAACGCCGUCUAUGACGGAUAAGGUUGACCUGACCGAUUUCAAGGGGUAGGCAGAUUGAUACAGAUGGUAACAUCUGUACCAGAUAAAUGAUAAGAAUCUAUGGUGUCGUUGACACCGCGAAUAGAUACAGAAUCCGGCUUAUAGAUUUGCUAUUCCU
rnacentral:RNase_P_RNA from 1 species